GUGAAUCAUCGAAUUUUUGAACGCAAAUUGCACUCUCUUCGGAGAGUAUGCCUGUUUGAGGGUCAGCCUAAAAAAAAAUCGACUUAUUCGCUGUUUCCCGGUGACAUUCGCCGGAAAUUGGGCUCUCUUAAACCUUUGGGUUUUAAGCGAAUUAAAAUUUGCUUUACGAUUCCACGAACGUUAUUAGGUUUUACUUCUUAUACGUUCAAGGUAUCGAUCUUUAUUAUAC
rnacentral:misc_RNA from 1 species